AAACUGUUACUGGGAUUGUGCCAGCUUUUUUUUUUUUUUUUUUCUUCUUGCAAUUCUGUCUACUUUUCUGAUAUAACACUUGGGGUUAUGUUUUCAGACGCCUAAGUACACUGCUGGUCCACAGCCAGGAUUAGAAUGAGGCAGGAGCCUCAGGUGCAGAAUUUAAGGAACCGCCAAAAGAGCUCCGUAAUGAAGAUGAGCAAUAUUUGGAUGCAAUAUUUUUCAAAAUAAAAAUUAAUGCAAAAAAGUCUAUGAUUAGUAAAAUGCUGCAAUUUUAAAUAAAAAAAAAUCUGACUGCAUUUUGACGACUCGAUCACCUCUCUUGCCUCACAGGAGUCUGGGCCCUAGAGAUAGCUUUUCGGUGAAGUGAACUUUUUUAUCUUUCGGUGGGAUCUUGCUCUGUCACCCAAGCCAGAGUGCUGGAGUGCAGUGGUACAAACACAGCUGACUGCAGUCUUCACCUCCUGGGCUCAAGUGAUCAUCUUGCCUCAGCCUCCCGUGUAGCUGGGACCACCGGUGCACACCACCAUGCCCGGCUAACUUUCUUUAUUUUUUUGUAGAGAUGGGGUCUCACUUUGUGCCCAGGCUGAGCAGACAUUUUUCUAACAUUAUCUCAUUAGACAUCUCUGCUGCAUUUAACACUUGCCCAUUCCUUCCUUGAAAAUUUCCAUAUUCUUAAUUACCAGUCUCUUCUAAUUUUCUGAAUAAUGAGAAACUAUGGCCAGGCGCGGUGGCUCACUCCUGUAAUCCCAGCACUUUGGGAGGCUGAGGCAGGUGGAUCACAAGAUCAGAAGUUCAAGACCAGCCUGGCCAAGAUGGUGAAACCCCACCUUUACUAAAAAUACAAAAAAUUAGCUGGGCGUGGUGGCAGACGCCUGUAAUCCCAGCUACUCAGGAGACUGAGGCAGCGAAUUGCUUGAACCCGGGAGGUGGAGGUUGCAGUGAGUCGAGAUUGCGCCACUGCACUUCAGCCUGGGUGACAGAGCGAGACUCCAUCUCAUUAAAAAAAACAAAAACCAGAAAUUACUUUCUCUGCUUCUUGAAUGCGUCCUCCUUUGCCCUUUCCUCAAUAGUUAGCAUUCUCAAAGUUCCAUCCCUAACCUACUGCUCUUUUCUUUCCACAUCUCAUGUUUAAAAUUUUUACUAUGUUGGUAACUUCAAAAUGGGUUUUUUACCUCUACCCAAAUAUUCUGAUGUAUAUCCACCUGCUAUUGAACAUGCACUUGGAUAUCCCACAGGCACCCCAAACUCAACAGAGCCCCAACUGAAGACAUCAUCUCACUUUAAAUCUACUUCUGUUUUCCUUUUCUCAUCUCAUUUAAUCACUUUGUACUGUUAUCGAAGUGUAAUUCUGUCUUCCUUCUGCACUCCCAUGGCCAGUCAAACUCCUGUAGAUUGUAUUUUCCUUAAUGCUUUUCACAUCUGUCUCCUCUUCAUCCUUGUUACCACUCUUAGUUCAGGACCUCAUUAAUUGGCUUCUGGACUGCUGAACCUCUCAGUUGUCUACUUUUUUCCAAUUAUAUCAUUUCCCCAUUUGAAUCUGAAGUCCCACAGUACCUUGUGCUUUCCUAUAUCUUUGUCUUUACCAUGUAUGAAAUUAAGAGUCUAUGACUGUCUUUUGACUGUAAACUCCCACAGGGCAUCUUUGUAACCCCCCACCACAUAGCACAUUGUCUGGUAUUAGUGCUAAGUAAGUUUCUUAGACUGAACUAAGCUCUGAUCUUAUCAGUGUUUCAUUUUUAUCUUGUUUUAAGGCUUUUAAUGUAUAAAAUAUUUUUGCUUUUUUUCUAGGAAUAGUAUUUUCAGUUUUUGGUCAAGGUCUUAUGUCCCAAAUUACCUACAAUUACACAGUGCUUUUCAGGUACCAUCCUUUGCAGGUACCAUCCCUGCACAUUGAAGUAAUUAGGGGUCAGUAAAUAUAAUAAAUCAUUUGUUCACUAUGUGUAAUAUUUUAAAGAUGUUUUUAGUAUCCGAAUAAAAGCAUUCCUAUUUGUCUUA